UACGGAGAGGGCAAGCGUUGUUCGGAUUUACUGGGCAUAAAGCGCACGUAGGCGGACCUACAAGUCGGUUGUGAAAUCCCGGGGCUCAACCCCGGAACUGCAUCCGAUACUAUAGGUCUAGAGGAUGAAAGGGGAGAGUGGAACUUCUGGUGGAGCGGUGAAAUGCGUAGAUAUCAGAAGGAACACCGGUGGCGAAAGCGACUCUCUGGUUCAUUUCUGACGCUGAGGUGCGAAAGCUAGGGGAGCAAACGGG
rnacentral:rRNA from 1 species